AGGUCAUGGCCAACUUUAAAAAUAGCCUGAGUUUUUCACGAAUGGGCCACAAACAUGGGACCCAAAGACGAUCCUUGGUUGAGGUCAUGGAUUUGAUCCCAAAUCAUCCAAUUACGGAAAAAGAGGCCAUUAUUACUGACUCAAUCACGAUAAUCAACCUUCACAUUAAGGAGGCAGCCAUGAUAUGAUUGGAUAUGAGGUUGUUGUAUUCCGUCCCCUUGAGAAGACACAGGUUAUGGACCUAGAUAGAUGAUGGUUAGAUGGAGGGAUUUCUUUUAUAUGUACUUAGAAUAUUUUCAACA